rnacentral:ncRNA from 2 species
UGAGCAGGCCGUGACUGGCGCGCUGGGAUGGGACGGACCAUCGGGGAGCGGCCUUGAGCAGUGACUGUGCCGUGCGCCUGGGCCGAACCG